GAAACCAACCUGAAAUGUAGCGUUUAUCGCUGCGUUCUCUUAAUGAGAUAGGGUUGGUUUUCUGU
rnacentral:ncRNA from 12 species